rnacentral:rRNA from 1 species
UACGUAGGGUGCGAGCGUUGUCCGGAAUUAUUGGGCGUAAAGAGCUCGUAGGCGGUCUGUCGCGUCUGCUGUGAAAACCCGAGGCUCAACCUCGGGCCUGCAGUGGGUACGGGCAGACUAGAGUGCGGUAGGGGAGAUUGGAAUUCCUGGUGUAGCGGUGAAAUGCGCAGAUAUCAGGAGGAACACCGAUGGCGAAGGCAGGUCUCUGGGCAUUAACUGACGCUGAGGAGCGAAAGCAUGGGGAGCGAACAGG